CACGUAGUUAGCCGUGACUUCCUCGAAAGGUAAUAUCACUUCACCAGCAUUUCCUCUGGUGACCCUUUUUCCCUCUCAACAGAACUUUACGAUCCGAAGACCUUCCUCGUUCACGCGGCAUUGCUCGUUCAGGCUUGCGCCCAUUGACGAAAAUUCCCUACUGCUGCCUCCCGUAGGAGUCUGGGCCGUGUCUCAGUCCCAGUGUGGCCGUUCGCCCUCUCAGGCCGGCUAUGCAUCGUCGCCUUGGUGAGCCUUUACCUCACCAACCAGCUAAUGCACCGCAGGUCCAUCCAUGCGCGGAGCCUUGCAGCUCCUUUAACAAAGCAAAGAUGCCUUCGCUUCCUUAUCCGGUAUCAGCAUCCGUUUCCGGAAGUUGUCCCGGCCGCAUGGGCAGGUUCCCUACGUGUUACUCACCCGUUCGCCACUAGGCAUCCGAAGAUGCCUCGUUCGACUUGCAUGUAUUAGGCAUGCCGCAGCGUUCAUCCUGAGCCAA
rnacentral:rRNA from 1 species